rnacentral:rRNA from 1 species
AUUGAACGCUGGCGGCAGGCCUAACACAUGCAAGUCGAACGAGUGGCGGACGGGUGAGUAAUGUCUGGGAAACUGCCUGAUGGAGGGGGAUAACUAAUGGGAACGGUAGCUAAUACCGCAUACCAUCAGAUGUGCCCAGAUGGGAUUAGCUAGUUGGUGGGGUAACGGCUCACCAAGGCGACGAUCCCUAGCUGGUCUGCGAGGAUGACCAGCCACACUGGAACUGGUACACGGUCCAGACUCGUACGGGAGUCAGCAGUGGGGAAUAUUGCACAAGGGGCUCAAGCCUGAUGCAGCCAUGCCGCGUGUAUGAAGAAGGCCUUCGGGUUGUAAAGUACUUUCAGCGGGGAGGCGUUACCCGCAGAAGAAGCACCGGCUAACUCCGUGCCAGCAGCCGCGGUAAGAC